UCUGUUUAAAGCUGGGUUUACACUGUCAACUUUCGGUUGAAAAGUUAACGAGUUGAUAAACUUUUCAACUAAUCGCCCGAAAGUCGGCAGUGUAAACGUAAAAGUAAAGCGCUCAACU